rnacentral:sRNA from 1 species
ACUGGCGAUGGCUGCCUGGUCCUACUUUCUCUCUCAAACUGGCUUUUUCUCAUUCCUUUGACUCCGCCAGACUUCCUCGCCCCCAUGACCUGGUGUUGUGUCUGAUCACCCCAACAUUCCUGGCUGCCCAAUGUGGGGCAAUGAAGACCCCAGUGAAGGAAUGCUAGAGUGUGUGAAAGCGGAGGAUGCAUCGUCAAAGGACACCCGAGGACGUCUCAAAGAAGCUCGGCGGGAAAGCUGAGCGCUCGGAAGAACCAAGAACUAAGAUCAGAAUUGUUUGAAUCAUCAGAAUCGUCUCUUUUGAAAAAUCGAUUCAUCAAAUGAAUCUUCAGCCAACAACUGUUCAAGAAGGAUGCAAAUAUCGCAGUGUUAGAUGAACUUUCUCGUUGACCCCUGACAGGAAGAGCCUCUGUAUUGGACCACCAUGUUUGUGCUCACUAUGUAGUAACAAACCAACACACCAAAAUAGCAGGAGUUGCCACUGACAAAGAGUUGAAUGAUCAAAUGACGGCCAAAGGAGGAGGUUCCGAGAAGUAAAGCUUUGGAGGUCACAAAAUUAGCAAUAGAAGCUGGGUUCCGCCAUAUAGAUUCUGCUCAUUUAUACAAUAAUGAGGAGCAGGUUGGACUGGCCAUCCGAAGCAAGAUUGCAGAUGGCAGUGUGAAGAGAGAAGACAUAUUCUACACUUCAAAGCUUUGGUCCACUUUUCAUCGACCAGAGUUGGUCCGACCAGCCUUGGAAAACUCGCUGAAAAAAGCUCAAUUGGACUAUGUUGACCUCUAUCUUAUUCAUUCUCC